rnacentral:rRNA from 1 species
UACGUAGGUGACGAGCGUUAUCCGGAAUACUGGGCGUAAAGCGCACGCAAGCGGUUGGACAAGUCUGGCGUGAAAUCCUCUGGCUUAACCAGGGGCGGUCGCUGGAGACUGUUCGGCUUGAGGCGAUGAGAGGGGUGCAGAAUUCCCGGUGUAGUGGUGGAAUGCGUAGAGAUCGGGAGGAACACCGGUGGCGAAGGCGGGUCUCUGGGCCGAUACUGACGCUGAGGAGCGAAAGCGUGGGGAGCGAACAGG